rnacentral:rRNA from 1 species
GACGAACGCUGGCGGCGUGCCUAAUACAUGCAAGUUGAGCGAUGAAGAUUGGUGCUUGCACCAAUUUGAAGAGCAGCGAACGGGUGAGUAACGCGUGGGGAAUCUGCCUUUGAGCGGGGGACAACAUUUGGAAACGAAUGCUAAUACCGCAUAACAACUUUAAACAUAAGUUUUAAGUUUGAAAGAUGCAAUUGCAUCACUCAAAGAUGAUCCCGCGUUGUAUUAGCUAGUUGGUGAGGUAAAGGCUCACCAAGGCGAUGAUACAUAGCCGACCUGAGAGGGUGAUCGGCCACAUUGGCACUGCGACACGGCCCAAACUCCUACGGGAGGCAGCAGUAGGGAAUCUUCGGCAAUGGACGAAAGUCUGACCGAGCAACGCCGCGUGAGUGAAGAAGGUUUUCGGAUCGUAAAACUCUGUUGGUAGAGAAGAACGUUGGUGAGAGUGGAAAGCUCAUCAAGUGACGGUAACUACCCAGAAGGGGACGGCUAACUACGUG